rnacentral:rRNA from 1 species
UACGGGGGGAGCAAGCGUUGUUCGGAAUCACUGGGCGUAAAGGGCGUCUAGGCGGUUUGGUAAGUGGGAUGUGAAAUGCCCGGGCUCAACCCGGGACCUGCAUCCGAAACUGCUGAGCUUGAGUACAGGAGAGGGUGGGGGAAUUCCAGGUGUAGCGGUGAAAUGCGUAGAUAUCUGGAGGAACACCGGUGGCGAAGGCGGCCACCUGGCCUGCUACUGACGCUGAAGCUCGAAAGCUAGGGGAGCAAACAGG